AGUUCCAGCAUCAGACAGCUAACCAGGUUUAUUCUUUAUACUCUCGCCACAUCUUGAUUUGGCUCGUUGUUCCUUUUUCCUAUGCAUAUACUUCUUUGAGAGUUUGAUCUAAAGAGGCAUAGAGCAUGGGAAAAUGGGGCGACUGAGGUACUCCGCCAUUCAUUCCAAACAGCACCAUUGAGGUGACUAUUGAAACAUGUGGAGAAAAUGGACAGACAAGCAAAUGAAAGGUGUCUUUGAAGAGGAACUGGAGAUUUUUGUUUUCCUGUUAACAUUUUAUUAUAUUUCUGUUCAAUUGCUUUUCUUUAGUCUAAAAAGUGAUGUAUCACAUCAGUUCUGUGAAAAAUAUUAUGGAACCCUGUAACUGAAUAUACUGCGUGUCAAAUAAAAACCUAAAUGUUUCACACACUA